UGACAAUGCCUUGCAUGGUUGCCAAGAAGGCCCCAAAAAGGAGGGAAGAACGUCUGGAAGGUGAUGGUUUUCUUCAUUUUCUAUCAGUUUUGAAUUUUUUGUUGCCAGGGUUUGCUUUUUAAUACAGAUGUCCCAUUGGCUUGACUGGUAUGAGAAAGUGAAGCGGGGUAUUGCCCCCUAGGGGCAGGUAGGUUUUUAUAAUAUUUUUUUAAUAGUAAACACUCUUAUUAGACGUUAUGUUUUUUAACUUUUUUAUGCUUUUGUUUCCAGUCCCAUCACUCCUUGUGGAGUAUUCCAUUUACAUUGUACGGGAGUGCAGAAGAGGCAAUUCCGAAUUGACAGAACAACACGAGAAGACUCUUAAGAAGCUGGAGUGUGUUGGCACGCCUCCCACAGGGAAGGCGGGCCCUCUAUGGGAAGAGGCCCCAAGCCAGGCGGUCUUAGGGCCUUCAAACAGGAUUGGAUUCAGGGUGAUUAUAGAAAGUAAAUGUAUACAUGAAGGAAAAUCAGUAUUCCAAACAUACAAGUCAUAAAGAUUGCUUUUAAUUUUAUUUUUCGACGAACCUACAUGGUGACGGAUGAGACUGAAGCAAAUUGCACAAUAAAUGUAGAAUCUAAAUCAUAGCUCAAACUCUAGUUUCUGUGGAAAGUGGAGUAGGAAGAAGAAAAGAUUUAGACACAAAGUGGUAAGAGUAAGAAUAGGAAGAACAAAGUAAUAAGAAAGUUCAUGUUUAUGUUAGCCAGUGAGGUAAUAAUUAGAGUAUUAAAUUAUAUUGAAUAAUAUAGAAGGAAGUCUUGUUCAACUUCCUGCAAGCACUAUUGUUCCACGUGUGAUAUACUUGGAAGAAUGAGAUUUAAAUUCUACAAUUAAUUGCAUAUUUUGACUUGAAUGGACAUAUGAACGGUAUGUUAUUUGCGUAUGUCAUUUGCAAUGAGGGUUAACUAACUAGAAUAUAUACCAUCCUAACAAACGUAUGUCAUUUGCAAUCUUCAUAAGGAAAGCUGCAAUUGUGUUUAAGGAUCUCACUAGUUUCAACAAAAGCAUCAUGUGCAGGCUGGAAUUACAAAACUAUAUGAAGAUGCAAAACUGUUUUGCAGUAAGCAUAGAAGAUACAUAAAAACAAAAGCAAAAUUCAGGGAAUCAGAGAAUAACC
rnacentral:lncRNA from 1 species